rnacentral:rRNA from 1 species
AACGAACGCUGGCGGCAUGCCUAACACAUGCAAGUCGAACGAGAUCUUCGGGUCUAGUGGCGCACGGGUGCGUAACGCGUGGGAAUCUGCCCUUUGGUUCGGAAUAACAGUUGGAAACGACUGCUAAUACCGGAUGAUGACGAAAGUCCAAAGAUUUAUCGCCAGAGGAUGAGCCCGCGUAGGAUUAGCUAGUUGGUGUGGUAAAGGCGCACCAAGGCGACGAUCCUUAGCUGGUCUGAGAGGAUGAUCAGCCACGCUGGGACUGAGACACUGCCCAGACUCCUACGGGAGGCAGCAGUGGGGAAUAUUGGACAAGGGGCGAAAGCCUGAUCCAGCAAUGCCGCGGGAGUGAUGAAGGCCUUAGGGUUGUAAAGCUCUUUUACCCGGGAUGAUAAUGACAGUACCGGGAGAAUAAGCUCCGGCUAACUCCGUGCCAGCCGCCGCCGUAA